rnacentral:tRNA from 1 species
GCCCAUCUAGAUCAGUUGGUAGAGCUCAAGGCUUCUAACCUUAUGAUUGUGGGUCAAGCCCCACAAUUUGCA